ensembl:lncRNA
GCAGGUGUAAAGUCCCAUGCUCACGUGGUGCUGGCCAGCAAACCCAGAUCUCCCUGCAUGCUAGAGAAACACUUCACCACAUCAUCUACAGACGCAGCCAAAUUUCCUUUCAAGGACAUGCCCAUCCUCUGAGAGUCCAACCCUAUGUUGAUUUUCCUCGUGACAGCGGGAUAUUUCAGCUCGGUGAUUACUCAGGUCACCCAGAGAGCUUAUUUGAUCCAAAGCUGCUGUAUCAGUCACCAGGCCUGAGUCAGAGCUUGGACAGGGCACAGCUGUAGCUCCCUGAACGGCAAAUACCUUGCCAUAGCGGUUGCUGGGGAAAUAUGUCGGAAACCUGUCUUCAGAGCUUGCUGGGAAUCUGCUGGGUGGGGUGCUGGGGAACGCUGUGGAUAGUGAGGAUAGAGGACAUUUCACUGGAGACACUUCACUGCGAAACCGCCUGAAGGGGAGCUGGCCAGGGCCACUGUGUGCAGUAUAGACAAGUGUGGCCGAAGCUGCCCAUGCAGAUAGAUUAGGGUCUCGGCAGCUGCACUGAACAAAGUGAGCCUUAGUAACCGCAGAUCCGAAUUAUUGAAUUCAUGCAUGCCUCCCGUCUUGACCACGGAAGCCACAUUUUGUGUGGACAGGAACAGUGAGACUUGCAUGGUCCUGGCUAGACAAAGAGACUGCUGAUCUCUAUGGUGACCAAGCUGGCCAGUACCUGCCUCCCUGCAGUGGGAGCCCUCCCAUGACUUUUCUGUGCAGUGUGGCUAUCGGUAUCCACUCGAGAGAAACCCAUCCACCCACACCCGCCUUCCCUAACGUCCCGGCCACAGACUGUCUUACUCCCUCCAUGCCUCUGACCCUUCAGGCCAAACAAUUUGUAACCGUGAGUGGAGUGGCUUUGAGCCGUCCUUCUGGCCACCUCUAACACUAGACAAACAUGCCUUCACUGUGCACUGCUGGGAGGGUUUCCCUUCACUGUCAUCCUCCAGGGGCCACAGAACUGCCCCCAUCCCAAGCGCUGCUGUCUACUCAUGAGCAGCUACAGCAACUGUAUGCACCGGCUUCUAAGACGGCUGUUUCUCUUUCUCAGACAGUGUAUUUAAACGCACUGGUCUCUAAAAUAACCAGGUAUUGUCUAAAAUGUCCUUCUGUGAGAAUCUUCUCUUCCCCAAACAACUCUAGACUUGUGGUUCCUGAAACUCCGGGCCAACAGCAAGUUCCACUGCCUUAACUUCUGAACACCGGUAAAAUACUUCCACAACUCCUGGGACGUUGUUUGGAAUUCAGAAUGACUCAUUUACACACUGACUCUCUACAAGAAAUGCAUUCAAGAACAUAUGAUGUCGCUCGCGGAUCAGAGCCAUCUGACGGCAGGAUUUGGAGGACACCUCUGAAAGGGCCCCAGAACAGAAGAAAACUGGCCCUGAUGUCCACGCUCAAAGUGCAAGC